rnacentral:rRNA from 1 species
UACGGAGGAUCCAAGCGUUAUCCGGAUUCAUUGGGUUUAAAGGGUGCGUAGGCGGAAUGAUAAGUCAGUGGUGAAAGCCUGCAGCUUAACUGCAGAACUGCCAUUGAUACUGUCAAUCUUGAGUACAUUUGAUGAGGGCGGAAUGUGUCAUGUAGCGGUGAAAUGCUUAGAUAUGACACAGAACACCGAUUGCGAAGGCAGCUCUCAAAACUGUAACUGACGCUGAGGCACGAAAGCGUGGGGAGCGAACAGG